rnacentral:lncRNA from 1 species
GCAAAGAGUGAAAAAAAAACACCCUGGAUUGUUACAGAAAUGUCUAAAAAAACUUUAUUCUGGAAAUGGCAUCAUAAAUUUUUCUUUGGGGUGUAAUUAAAUGUUCUUCAGUUUGCCUGGGACAUCUGUGACCCUAGUUAAAAUGAUUUCUUACACUAAUUCUUGGUCUUUUUCUUCCUUUGUAUUUUUUGUGACCCGAUCACCUUCUUGCUUAGCAAAUGGAAAUUCUAGCAGUAAGUGACCUGUCUUAAUUUAUAGACUACUU